GAUCCCUUUGGGAAUCCUAGAAAAGCUGGAAGCCCCUCCCGUAAAAAAUACCCAUCAGCCCCUAUCUGUGCGGUAGUGCAGGUGGGGGCCCCUUGCGAGGCCUCAAACUGUACCCCUUCCUCUGAUUGCCCCUAACCCUGCACUUGCUCCCUCAGGCCCCCAGAGCUCUCGCGAAGCUCCUCAGUAACAGCUCCCCCUAACCGGACACGCAGCCCAGAAAGUCCCGGAAGUUGCUGUAGAUCACAAGGGGUAUCGUCAAGUAGACAGUACUAUUUCUUUGGGUGUCCCCCAAGUAGCAGAUUUGGUUAAUAAAGGCUUCGAAGGAGGAAGAAUUUUAACCAGAACCUGAAGGAUGGAUCUGACCAGAAAGAAAAAUGCGUAAACAGGAAAGUAGCACAAAAAUGCAGUGUUGCCCGUGGAAGGCUGGUGCUGGCCACUGACAAGCUGAAGCCAGAAGAGGCUGUGGAUCUGCGGACUGAGUAUCCUUCAAAGGACGAAGAGAGUAGGCCCGGGGGAGGGGGAGACAAUGAACUCCAGCUGCUUUGGCCACAGCAUCAGUCCGGUGAGGGCGAA
rnacentral:lncRNA from 1 species